GAGAGGGAGAGAGGGAUAGAGGGAGAGAGGGAGAGAGGGAUAGAGAGGUAGAGGGAGAGAGGGAGAGAGGGAUAGAGAGGUAGAGGGAUAGAGAGGUAGAGGGAGAGAGGGAGAGAGGGAUAGAGAGGUAGAGGGAGAGAGGGAGAGAGGGAUAGAGAGGUAGAGGGAGAGAAGGAGAGAGGGAUAGAGAGGUAGAGGGAGAGAGGGAGAGAGGGAUAGAGAGGUAGAGGGAGAGAGGGAGAGAGGGAUAGAGAGAUAGAGGGAGAGAGGGAGAGAGGGAUAGAGAGGUAGAGGGAGAGAGGGAGAGAGGGAUAGAGGGAUAGAGGGAGAGGGAGAGAGGGGGAGAGAGGGAUAGAGAGGUAGAGGGAGAGAGGGAUAGAGAGGUAGAGGGAGAGAGGGAGAGGGAGAGAGG
ensembl:lncRNA